GGUGGGGAAGGCAGUUUGUCCCCUUCUAUGGCAGGCUGGAGCCUUCUUUGGUGAGCAGAGACAAAGGCGACAAGUUCAGGAGGAUGGAGGAGGUGGUAAAAUCAGACCCUGGAUGUUCAGAUGUUCAGAGUUCACAUGUCACCUAAGAAACCCCAGCCAAGGGCCUGGCAUGAAUUUCUCAAGGCUCCUGGAACACCCUGGAUCAAGACCUGAGCUCAUACAAAACCAAAGCUCUAGCCUCCAAGGAGCCUUUGUAUUGUGGGGAAAUACCUGAGCUGAGAGUAGUGCAGAAGAACAUGAAAUACUCCAGCCCGUGAUGCUAAAAGGUGGCAGGACCAUGGACUACUUGCUCCAAGGAAGCUGUUGAUGUCCUGAAGGAUGAGAUUGUCAUAUCGCCUAGCUGAAGGAGCUGGCCUGGCUCUCCAUUCCUCUUUUUCUCUUCUUAUGUGAAGCUUUGUGUUCCACAUACUUGAGCUUUAGGAUUUUAUUGUAUUUCAUUUUUUAAGUCAAAGAAUACUGGGUGGGCCCCUUUGUGGUGGCAAAAGAAAACAAUCAGAAAAGAAUUUUUUAAAGUUCAUCUUUUACUCAGAACAAAUCACUGUAAAAUACCACACACCAAAUGUUUCCCCUUUUUGUUCCUUCUUUCUUCCUCUGACCCCUUUGCAUGAUUAUCUUAAAGCAAUAAAAUGGCAUUCAUUCA